rnacentral:rRNA from 1 species
UACGUAGGGGGCAAGCGUUGUCCGGACUUAUUGGGCGUAAAGAGCGUGUAGGCGGCUAGAUAGGUCCGUUGUGAAAACUCAAGGCUCAACCUCGAGACGUCGAUGGAAACCAUCUGGCUAGAGUCCGGAAGAGGAGAGUGGAAUUCCUGGUGUAGCGGUGAAAUGCGCAGAUAUCAGGAAGAACACCCGUGGCGAAGGCGGCAUCCUGGACCGGCACUGACGCUGAUGAGCGAAAGCCAGGGGAGCAAACGGG